rnacentral:tRNA from 1 species
AAGGCCUUAAGUUAAAACAAACUAAUAACCUUCAAAGCUAUAAAUAAAGGGCUUACCUUUAGGCCUUG